rnacentral:lncRNA from 1 species
ACAGCACCCUUGUACCGCUCAGCUUUCUAGAGCGUUUUCCUCUUCUGCAGCCUCGAGCGUUCUUCCUUGAAUACUACGAGCCCCCCACCUCUGCCGAACCCCCGUUCGCUAGACAUCCCCCAGUCGUUUCCUUUUUCGGACCCCUUCGCGCCUCCUGCUUCCCCUGCGCCUCACCUUCCUCAACGCCCCGCGCGCUCUGGCCGGUCUCCGCCCCUGCUCAGCUCCCCUCUCCGCCAGGCAACGGCUUUCCCUGGCCGAGGGCUCCAGCCCGCCCCGGGGCCCCGGACACCUGCCUCCUCCCGGCUUCUGCCCGGCAGGUCCCGGUCCCCACCUCUUAGUCUCAGUUCUCCUCUUUCUUGUCCCGAUCCGGGACCUUGGGAGCUGAGAAUCCCUCACCUGGCCCGGCCCUUCCUACCGCUCGUCCCUCGCCCCCUCGCCCGGGCCGGGUCCUCAGGUUCCUCGGGGCUUCCUCGCCCUCCUCCCCUUCGCUCCCUCCCCCUGCGGGGUGUUUUAUUUGUAUCUGUUUGAUAUUUUCCUCCUCGGUGUUUGCCGCGGAAUGUUUUUAUUGGUAACGUGUUAGGAGCUUUUGUGAGGUCGUAAAAGGUGAACUUUUGAACUUGGAAAGCGCCCUGGAGCAAUUAGCGCAGGCGAUCGCCCCGGGAGGCCUGCAUUACAAAGGGUGCUCGCACCGGCCGGCAAACGCUCCGGCGGCAAACCCGAUUUAUUUAUUUGCCCUGUUUUCCACCUUUCACAUCUCCUCAUUUCCGAAUAAAGGGAGGCUCUCAGAGAUCAGUGCCUCCUCCCCUCGCUGCGCCAUAAACUCGCAGUUCUCUGAGAGAUCUAGGACCGAACAGUGUCUAACAAGUAACAGAUUUCAAAUUGAAUGCAAACACCCGGGACAGUUAGGAGGCACUAAAAAUUAACUGCUUCACCAAGAGGUUUCUCAAUCAGGACAGUGACCUGGCAGGUGUGAGGAAAGUAACCUGAAAAUAGGUCAGUUAGGCGCUCAAUUGUUGAAUGAGUGAGUAGCUACAGACGGUGGAAAUCUUGGGUUGGAUCCGUGCCUUCAUACGUUUAUUAACUAGUCAAACAUUUUGUUAGUUCAGGAGAUCUGGUGUUUUUUACAAAAGGGAAAAGUCCGUGUAGAAGAGAGCUUGGUUAACUUCACUUGAUGUUGCUGAUCUUAAAAAUAAUGAUGUGUUUUCAGAGCUCUUUUUUUUUUUUUUUUAAUUUGUGUAUGAUGUAUGAUGGCUAGGUGGCUGGCCGUUCCGUGGGCUGUCGUUGGCAACUAAUUUCUGAAUGUGAACAUGUUUGAGAUCAAUAAAAUUCCGUGUCACAAAGGGGGAAGCUGGAAUCCAGUUAGGGUAGAAGGAGACAGUAUAAUAGGAACAAAGGAUUUCUUUAAUGCCUUUGACUUUUUAAGCUAGUUUGUGUGGAGAUUUGGUUUGGUAUUAAUUUGUGAGUGUUGUAAAUCCUGAUCUAAAUUUUCCCAUGCUGAUUUUUUUGAAUCCAAACCCCAACCUAUCUUAUAUCCCAUAUUAGCGUGUAUAUUUCUGUGAUGCCUUCCUAUGUGUGAAUACUUCCUGUACCCACCUGUGCAUAUAAUGUAGAUGACGGAUUUUACUGCAAUUCAAUAUUUACUGCAAUAUUGCUUUCAAUUCUACUUGAGAAUAAUAGUGUUGUAAGAGAAACCUAAGAACUGCAUUUGUUAUUAAUUAUUCAUUAGUACAUUUUAAAGAACUCAAUGGUAAUUUUAACUCUUAAUCAGAUUUCCCAUUCAUAGUCUCAUUUCCUCAAUUGGUCAGAACCAUUUGAAAGAAUGUUAUCGAGCAAUCCAUUUAGACUAAGGUGGCUUUAAAGCUUUACAUUAGUCUAAGUUAGUGGUACAGAUGUUUUCUUUUUGCUGAAAAUACAAUGGGAACUUUUGGCAGCUUGAUGGGCUUAAAAUACACUAGACGCUAGACCGUUGUGGGAUAUUUUUCAGUGUAAAAACUAGCAUUGUGCAAUGUUUUACAAUUUAUGUUCAUUAGCACUUAUGAAGUUAACAUGCUCACAGAAGAAUUGCCAAAAAUUUUUUUAAGUUUGCCUAUGGAACAAUGGGCACAUUUUUUCUUUUUUGCUUCCUAAUUAAUAUUUUUCUCCAAAAAUAUAUGAAACUGCUUGUUCUGAGUAGAAAAGAAAUGAAUUAUCUGUUUUUUACUCCUAGUGACUGAUUUCUAUUUUAUAUGAACUAUUUUCAAGAGACAACUAUACAGAUAGGGGGUCUUUUGGUCUCUGUCAUGAAGAAAUAAACUGGAGGUGGCAUUUUAGAAAUGUUUUCCUACCGGAAACACCAUUGAUGCUGAAUUUACAGUCCUUUGAAUGGUUUUUAUUCUGUCAGAACAGAGUUUCUUUCUAGCCUUUUGAUGCACCAUCAUCCUUCCAGGAAUUCCCUGUGCUGACUGCGCUAUUUUCAGUUGUUGCUUGUAGGUUUUCAUAACAAACAUGAACUCAUUUAGUUGUAAUAGAGGACUGCUCCCUUUUGGGAUUUCAAAGGAAGAUGAAUGAUUUGAGGAAGUGUAUGCUGAAUAUUGCAUUUGUUCAUUUUAAGAGAAUGAGGGAAUAUACUUUUAAAUAUUUAAAGCAAAGGAAGGCAAAGGAAGGUUAUAAGCCAUUAUAAGUAAUUAAAAGCAUAUUUUAUGUAAUUACACUUUAGAGGAAAUGGGGAGAAGUUCACUGAAUAGCACGAACCCUUGGCUGCUUUAAAGUCUGUGAGAUCCCAUAAUUUAUCUGUAAAUUUCAUUCUUUGAGUCUGCCUUAUAGAAAUGUUUACAGUUACAGUUCUGAUGUUAUGAUAAUUUGUAAUGUAAAUUUGAAAUAAAUUAUGGAGUAUUUUUGUUGUUUAAACAAGAUCACUUUUUUCAUUUAUAACCCCUCCAUGCCACACUUUCUCUUUUUUGAGUACAGUUUCAUUUGCUGAGUCAAACUCAUAGUUAAUUUUAGAGUUUUUCCUCAUUCCUUGUAAUGGGAUAUUUAUCUGCAAAACUCAUUCAGCAUUGAGAAGAGUGCUGUCUUCCUAAGAUUAAAUGCGCUUCAUUUGAGAACGUUGAUUCAUUAAGGGAAAUUGCAAAACAGAAGGGAAACUUCCUUAAAUGCUGCUGGUCUGUAAAAAGGGAACCCAGCAGGAAAGGGGAGAGGUGCAUGGGGGAGGGGUGAAGUGAAGAGUGUAGCAGGGUAGCUGCAGUUGAAAUAUUCAUCAAUCAUUUUACUGGCACCAGGAAACCAAUCAGCCUUUUAGGGAGAGAACUUAAUCAAUCACCUAAUGUGGGAAAAUACAAUUGCUUUCCCACAAAAAAAUAUUCCCUUUCUUGGUGACAGAUCGAAUCUGAGAGAUACUUUGGUUCCCUGGAAUUCAGAACUGACUGCAAGCAGUUGCUGAAAGUACUGCUGUGAAGAAGUGCAUUUAACAUUUGGAGAUAAAAUUUCCUAUCUGCUGCGAGCCUUUUCAAAAUAUUUCAAAAUAAGUUUGCUUUUCGUACAGUGUGCCCAUCAAAAAAUAAAUACUGAGCAAGC